rnacentral:rRNA from 1 species
CCUACGGGCGGCAGCAGUGGGGAAUAUUGGACAAUGGGCGAAAGCCUGAUCCAGCCAUGCCGCGUGUGUGAAGAAGGCCUUCGGGUUGUAAAGCACUUUCAGUGGGGAAGAAAGCCUUGGGGCUAAUACCCUCGAGGAAGGACAUCACCCACAGAAGAAGCACCGGCUAACUCCGUGCCAGCAGCCGCGGUAAUACGGAGGGUGCGAGCGUUAAUCGGAAUUACUGGGCGUAAAGCGCGCGUAGGCGGUCUGAUAAGCCGGUUGUGAAAGCCCGGGGCUCAACCUGGGAACGGCAUCCGGAACUGUCAGGCUAGAGUGCAGGAGAGGAAGGUAGAAUUCCCGGUGUAGCGGUGAAAUGCGUAGAGAUCGGGAGGAAUACCAGUGGCGAAGGCGGCCUUCUGGACUGACACUGACGCUGAGGUGCGAAAGCGUGGGUAGCAAACAGGAUUAGAUACCCGAGUAGUC